CCUAUGGGUGGCAGCAGUGGGGAAUAUUGGUCAAUGGGCUUACGCCUGAACCAGCCAAGUCGCGUGAGGGAAGACUGCCCUAUGGGUUGUAAACCUCUUUUGUCAGGGAGCAACGACGGCUACGUGUAGCCGGACUGAGAGUACCUGAAGAAAAAGCAUCGGCUAACUCCGUUCCAGCAGCCGCGGUAAUACGGAGGAUGCGCGCGUUAUCCGUAUUUAUUGGGGUGAAAGGGUGCGUAGGCGGAAUGCCAAGUCAGGGGUACUAUCGCGGGGCUCAACCUCGCUCCGCCGUUGAAACUGGCGUUCUUGAGUGGGCGAGAAGUAUGCGGAAGGCGGGGUGUAGCGGUGAAAUGCAUAGAUAUCACGCAGAACUCCGAUUGCGAAGGCAGCAUACCGGUGCCCAACUGACGCUGAAGCACGAAAGCGUGGGUAUCGAACAGGAUUAGAUACCCUUGUAGUC
rnacentral:rRNA from 1 species